UGGGGAAUUUUGCGCAAUGGGGGAAACCCUGACGCAGCAACGCCGCGUGAGUGAUGAAGGCCUUCGGGUCGUAAAGCUCUGUCAGAGGGGAAGAAAUGCAGGGGUGCUAAUAUCAUCUUUGCUUGACGGUACCCUCAAAGGAAGCACCGGCUAACUCCGUGCCAGCAGCCGCGGUACUACGGAGGGUGCGGGCGUUGUUCGGAAUUAUUGGGCGUAAAGCGCGUGUAGGCGGUUUGGUAAGUCUGAUGUGAAAGCCCCGGGCUCAACCUGGGAAGUGCAUUGGAAACUGUCAGACUUGAAUACGGGAGAGGUUAGUGGAAUUCCUAGUGUAGGAGUGAAAUCCGUAGAUAUUAGGAGGAACACCGGUGGCGAAGGCGGCUACCUGGACCGAUAUUGACGCUGAGACGCGAAAGCGUGGGGAGCAAACA
rnacentral:rRNA from 1 species